rnacentral:rRNA from 1 species
UACGAAGGGGGCGAGCGUUAUCCGGAUUUACUGGGCGUAAAGCGCCCGUAGGCGGCCUGACAAGUUGGACGUGAAAGCUCCUGGCUUAACUGGGAGAGGCCGUUCAAAACUGUCAAGCUAGAGUCUGGAAGAGGAGAGCGGAAUUCCCGGUGUAGUGGUGGAAUGCGUAGAGAUCGGGAGGAACACCAGUGGCGAAAGCGGCUCUCUGGUCCAAAACUGACGCUGAGGGGCGAAAGCGUGGGGAGCGAACGGG